ACUAAUCUAGUCCGUGGAACUAAUUAUUUCAAAUGAGUGUUUCUGAGGUCCAGCUCUGUUAUUUGCCCUGUGAUGUUGGGCAAAGAAAAUUUAACUUCUGCAGGCAUCAGUGUUUUCAAGUGAAAACUCUUCCUCAGGUAUGGGUGUUGGGUGAUAAGCAUGUAAAAGUCCUUUGGGGUUGGUGGCUCUUUAUUGUGAGAUUAGGCACCCACUUUGAGGCCAUAUCUCAGCCUUAAGUAGAUACUUGAGGGGGUAGAGCCCAGGCAUCUUUAUCGCUUACGUAAAUCAGAUGAUUUAGGGUUGAAAACCAAAGCUUCAUAUUUAUUGCUGUGACUGUUCAAGAGCUGUGGAAAUCAUGCAUAUGAAAACGUAUCAAGUAUUAACACCUGUAUGUGCUGGGUGACCUGAAUAUGAAGAGUAUAAUACCGCCGGGCUUGAGACAUACAGCUGUGCACUGUAAGGGCAUGAGUGGCCUAGCCAUCUGCCAGGACUCCCCAGUUGGCUUCUGUAACACUUCUGGGUUUCCUGAAAUGAGCAGAAAAUAGGCUAAAACAAUGUGGAUUAUGGAAUAGUGAGAUACCCUUUAUAGAGGUAAGAAAGUCAUGUAAGCAUGUCUGUGGGAAAAGGAAGAAUGGUAGGUGGUUGGGUUUUGGGAUUUAAAAUGUAAGGUGUUUCAUGAUACCCAGUAGGGAGAGAACAGUUUGGAAUUCAAAAGAGGCUGUUUGCCGGAGAAGGCAAUGUGAAGGGAAUAAAUGAAAGCACCGCAGAGAGUUUGGGGAAUGAAGAGGCCACCGGAUGGGCUCCGCGGCAGCCCCGUCGACGCAGGAGUGCGCGGCUGGAGGAGGCCACCGGCACCCCCACGGCCCUCGGUGUCUUCGAUGGUUGAUCGGUUUUCUUUUACGAGCCCCGUGGAAUCAGGCAAGUGACACUGCUUAUCCUUCAGUUUUCUUGACUGUAAAUUGGAAAUAACAGUCCCGACCUGAGGGUUGUGGGGAUUGAGAAUCUCUGAAGUACUUAAACAGCUACUGCCACAUAGUAAAUGCUUGGUCACAUCACUGUUACUGUCGACUGUCUUUGUCGAGAUAAAUUCAAUUUCUAAUAAGAUUCCAUUACUAUCUCACUUAGAACCCAUGAAAUUUUCCUCAGUGACUGAAGCUGGUGUUGAUUAUCUUUCUGGAAUUUACUCUCUGCCAUGCAAUGUAGCACUUAAGUCGACAUUGUUACUUUAAUGUGUUUAUGAGUUUUAUUGGUCUUGCCUCCUCAGUUGGAAUGUAAGCUUCCUUUGGGAUUAGGUCCAUUUCUUAUACUUCCAUUUAGAUAGCCCCUAAUUUCUCAAACAUCCGUUGUGCUAUCAGUGUGACUUAAAAUAAAUCCUGAUGUUUUAGAACUGUUUGGGUGCAGAGUAGGAGCUGAACAAUAUUUGAAUGCAGAAGUAAAUGAAGAGUCUAAGAUUGCCUUAAUAUUUAUCUCUUUCUACUCAGGCAUUUUCUGACAAGGGAAGCACAGAGAGCAGAGCACCCAUGAGCUUGGGGAGGAGAAGAGGCAGAGGGAGAAGCAGGCUCCCUGACUAGGCGCUCGAUCCCAGGAUCCUGAGAUCAUGACCCGAGCUGAAGGUAGGCAACUUAACUGGCUGAGCCACCCACGCGCCCCCACAAGUGUAUUUUCUACAUGAUUACAAAUUAUAGAAAUGUUAGGAGACACUGUAUAGGCCUCAAAAAUAACAGCAGCCAAGUACAUGACGAUUCCCCGCCUCACGACCCCCUCUUACGAUUCCUCUCUCUUCCCCAGCCUCCUCAAAACAACCUCCCAAUCUGCAAAAAGCAAAAAUACUCAUGUCUGGUGUCUUAUCUGGCCCACGGUUAACUUACGGCAUGAGACAAUACACUCUGAGUUCAAGAGAGGGAGGGAGAAUCUUAAGCAGGCUCUGCUCUCAUCAUGGAGCCUGACAUGGAGCUCAAGCCCACGACCUUAAGAUCAUAACGGGAACUACCGAAAUCAAGAGUCGGAGGCUCACUGAGUCACCCUGGUGCCCCACGUUGUGCAAAUUUUACUUAUUGUCAAGAAAGUAAGCUUCAUGAAGGCAGAGGUUUCGGUAUGCUUCACUCACUGCUACAUUACCAACAGUGCCUAACACAGAACAUUCUUCUGCUUUUCUUCAGCACCUGUACAUUGCUAUUGAGAAAUGUGGUGCUAUUCUAAUGACCAAGCCUUUGUGUUUUCUCUCUGAAAACACUUAAAAUCUCUCUUCCUUUUUGAUGUUCUUUAAUUUCAGGAUUACAUACCCAGCUAUGGUCCUUGUUUUGUUCAUUCAAUCUGGAAACUCGUUACUUAGUUCUAGGAAUGUUUCUUGUAUUACUCUGAUUUCCUCUCCUUUGAUUUCCUUCAUAUUCUUUUUCUGAAACUCCCAUUAUUUUUUUUUUUUUAAAGAUUUAUUUAUUUAUUUGACCGAGAGAGAGAGAGAGCAGAAGCAGGCAGAGAGGCAGGAGAGUAAGAGGGAAGGGCAGGCUCCCUGCUGAGCAGAGAGCCCAAUGUGGGGCUUGAUCCCAGGACCCUGAGAUGAUGACCUGAACCAAAGGCAGAGGCUUAACCCACUGAGCCAUCCAGGUGCCCCUGAAAUUGCUGUUAUUCGGAUGUUGGAUCUCUCCGACUGAUUUACUGUCUUCCUUAUCUUUCCUCUUUCUUUGCUCUCCUUUCUGAGAGAGUAUCUCGACUUUAUAUUAUAAUAAUUCCAUUCAAUUUUAAAUUUUUACUAUUGUUUUUAUUUCCAAAAGAUGUCUUUUGUCCUAUGAGUAAGCUUUUAUGUGGUUUUUUUAUCUUUGUUUCGAGGAUGUAUUACCUUCUGUUACUUUUCUGUAGACAGAGAUUGGGGAAUGGUCACCAUAUUCAAAAUACAGAUAUUCAAGAUCAGGUUUUUCACUUAAUCCAUCUGACUUAUACGCUGGUCACUCUGGCCUCAACUGCACGUGGUGUCUGAGUUUAGAGCCUCUCUGAUACUGUCUUUAAAUAAUAUUUAUUAUCCUUUGUCAGGGGUAGGGAGAAGCAGCAAUACGGCUAUAAAACGUGGGAAAGGCCCUGCAGAUGACACGUUCCUUUGAGAGCCUUUAUACCCGGUCUGGUCUUCUCAGACUUACACUGCAGGUCCAUGCUUACGAGUACCAUGUUCUCCACUUUCUGAGCCCUUCCCAGGUUCUAUGACCCGGAUCGGCUUGCGUCUUAAUGUCUUCUCUACAAAUUUGCUAACAAGGACUCAUAAUCCAUUUCUAGCUUCCAAAUUGUUGACAUUUCUUACCUGUUGUCUUUUCUCUUGUUUCUUUUCUUUUUUAGAUUUUAUUUAUUUAUUUGACAGAUCACAAGCAGGCAGAGAGUGGGGGAGGAAGUAGGCUCCCUGCCGAGCAGAGAACCCGAUGCGGGGCUCAAUCCCAGGACCCUGGGAUCAUGCCCCGAGCCGAAGGCAGAGGCUCAACCCACUGAGCCACCCAGGCGCUCCUUUUCUCUUUUUCCUUUUCUUCCUUUUCUUUUUUUUUUUUUUUUGAACUUAUUUAUUUUAUCGUAGAGAGUGUGAGCAGGGGAAGGGGCAGAGGGAGAGAAAUCAGGAAAGAAUCCCAAGUAGACUCUGGCAGAGUGUGGAGUCUGUCACAGGACUCAAUCCCACCACCCUGGGACAGUAACCUGAGCCGAAAUCAAAGAGAAGGUUAAUUGACUGAGCCCCCCAGGCACCCUUCUCUUGUUUUUUAUACAUUAUACAUGUAUUAUUAUUACACAUUAUACAUUGUUUUAUACAUUAAAAUCCCUAAUUAUUGCUUCACCUAUCAAUUUAUUAGAGUUUUGAGAGUAUACCAAAAUAAAUGGACCUGUUUAAUCAGCCAAAUUAUAAUUCAUGCCCCGUAUUUACCUAUAGAGUGACUGAGAGAAAGCUUAUGGGCCUAGUUUUUAUUAAAAAGCCAAAUCUGUUUCCCAAGAACAUGCAGUAGAGUCUUUUACAUAAAGAUCAAGAGAAAAGAGAGAACCAAUUUUGUUAAAAUAGAGGUUUUAGUGAGAAUGAUUAUGUGCUGUGUGAAAAUAUUGUGAGAAAAACUAAAAUACUUCAGUCAAAUAUUUUAUUGAGCUACUUCUAUUCAGUUGGCUUCAAAGAAAAAGGAAUUUUUUUUCAUGUAAUCAGGCAUGCAUAAAAGUGAAAUUUGGAAGAUAAGGCCGUUGGGUGAAAUAGAAUCUCUUAAAACUUUUUUGGGGGGUCAUAUUUUCAUAGUGUUUAGAUGUUGCCACUUUCCCCAAAAGAAAGACAUGUAAUCUGGGAGCCUCGGUGGCUCACAUGGUUGAGCGUUUGCCUCAGCUCAGAUCAUAAUCUCAGGGUCCUGGGAUUGAGCCCCGAGUUGGGCUCUUUGCUUGGGGGGGUGUCUGCUUCUCCCUCUCACACUGUCUCUCCCCCUGCUUGUGCUCUGUCUCUCUCUCUCAAAUGAAUAAGUAAAAUCUUUUUUAAAAAAAAAAAAGACAUAAUUUAAUGAGAAAAGAUCUAGCAAUAUGGUGAUUAGGUAACCCCUUAACCCUCCUGCCACUAUUACUACUCAGAAGUGCUAG